GGGAUGAUAGCUCAGUUGGGAGAGCGCGAGAGUGAAGUCUAUCAAUUCUUGAGGUCGGGCGUUCGAUCCGCCCUCGUCCCA
rnacentral:tRNA from 2 species